UGAGGAAUAUUGGUCAAUGGGGGCAACCCUGAACCAGCCAAGUCGCGUGAAGGAUGAAGGUCUUAUGGAUUGUAAACUUCUUUUAUACAGGAAUAAAUUGGGGGACGUGUCCCCUUUUGCAUGUACUGUAUGAAUAAGGAUCGGCUAACUCCGUGCCAGCAGCCGCGGUAAUACGGAGGAUCCGAGCGUUAUCCGGAUUUAUUGAGUUUAAAGGGUGCGCAGGCGGGAUGUUAAGUCGGCGGUGAAAUUUUGCAGCUCAACUGUAAAAGUGCCUUCGAUACUGGCCUCCUUGAGUGUAGAUGAAGUAGGCGGAAUUUGUGGUGUAGCGGUGAAAUGCUUAGAUAUCACGAGGAACUCCGAUUGCGCAGGCAGCUUACUAAACUACAACUGACGCUCAUGCACGAAGGCGUGGGGAUCAAACA
rnacentral:rRNA from 1 species